UCGGGAAUUUUGCGCAAUGGACGAAAGUCUGACGCAGCAACGCCGCGUGAGGGAUGACGGCCUUCGGGUUGUAAACCUCUUUUGUCAGGGACGAUGAUGACGGUACCUGACGAAUAAGCCACGGCUAACUACGUGCCAGCAGCCGCGGUAAUACGUAGGUGGCAAGCGUUGUCCGGAUUUACUGGGCGUAAAGAGCGCGCAGGCGGUCGUUCAAGUCGCGUGUGAAAGCCCCCGGCUCAACUGGGGAGGGUCACGCGAUACUGAUCGACUCGAAGGCAGGAGAGGGUAGUGGAAUUCCCGGUGUAGUGGUGAAAUGCGUAGAUAUCGGGAGGAACACCAGUGGCGAAGGCGACUACCUGGCCUGUUUCUUGACGCUGAGGCGCGAAAGCGUAGGGGAGCGAAACGGGAUUAGAUACCCCCGGUAGUCCCUAGCCGCAAACGAUGGACACUAGGUGUUGGUGGUAUCAACCCCGCAGUGCCGAAGCUAACGC
rnacentral:rRNA from 1 species